GAAAUAAAAAUAGUGAAAUGCUACAAGAAUAGAAGUUAAGACAUGUUUUCUUCAGUGGUGAAGGAGGUUUGCGACGCAUGACCUCAGAAGCUGAUCGACUAACCGUGUAGUGGGGCUGCAAAUGUCAAGACUUUCAAGGACUCAGAACGUGAUCCUUUGUUCCCUUCAGGAUGUUUUAAUGACGACAGUGUGAUCACAGAUAUUUUUUCUUUUUCCCUCUUGAGAGAAGUGGGGGAGAUUAAAGCAAACGGACAACCAACAGGAAAUUGCCAAGUUAAAGAACCUACUCGAAGCCUGUCUUUCAGAUGUCUGAAUAAAAAGUGUUAUUUCAUUCAA